UUAAAUCAACCUCUAAGUAUUGGGGAGUAGGCUGAAAGCUUCACAGGGAUUCAUUAUCCUACAUCUGCCUAUUGCUGGACUCUUUCGCCUUCCUCUAAGGCACCUGGAACUGACAACUAUCAGCAACACUGUACAAGGCUGGGUUGAAAUUCCAGAAGCUGGUGGGGAAAGGUUAUGUAAAGAGGAUUGUUGAUUAAAACUCUCUCCCAUCAAAAUGGAAUAGCUGUAAACAAUAGACUGACCCCCAACCAGGAGAACUGAUUCAACAGGGCAGAGGUUGCUUGGAAAGGAAGUCACCUAGUAGGUGUGUCUGGUCAUCUGAGGAGGCUGAUCAGGAAGUCACCAGACAGAGGGAUGGAAGGGUAGAAACUGCUCUUGUUUGCCCUCUGUUUCUGAUGUAUCUCACCAGCUCAAGCUGAGAGGAGAUGCAAGUAGGAUCAUGAAGAGGCAAGAGAAACUCUGCUUUCCUAAACACAGUUGGAUUCCCAAGUGUGGAAGAAGAUAAUGAAGAGAGAGGAGCAGACUGCCUGGCUGUAAAUCUAACUGCAGAACACGUGGGAUCCCAAAAUUGUCCUGCUACAAUCUGGCACAACUGUCAGAGCUGAUAAAGUAUUCUAUUUGUUGGUACCACCAAAACCAGUGCAAGCAUUGACAAGGCGUCCACUAUCUCUCUAUGACAGCUCUUUGGAUCCUUCAUUGUCCCUUCACCCUCAAGACAAUGAGACAGACAUCACAUUUUGUGUUUACUUCUUGUGGAAAAUUCUCAGGUACCACUGUGAUGGGGAGCUUUAAAACGACUUAGCGAGACAGAUCAUCUUUCUGACAAAUCAAAGUAUGAAUCAGAAUUGGAAAGAUAUUUGCAAACAUUUUUGCCCACUAUUCACUCACCUGAACUUACAAAUGUGGAACCAGAUUCAGUACCUGGCUUCUGCAGAACCCAAGCUCCUGGGUGCUGGCAACAGACUGUCUGUGUAGAAUACAGAUGAAGUGAUGUAACCUUCCAUCAGGAGCUUGCUGAUGUAGCUCAGAAAGUGGAGACUGGGGCAUGGAUGAGGACAAAUUGAUGAAAUUCAGUCCAGAUAAGAAGGGGUUGGUGCCAAAUGGACAGGGGAAGGAACCUGAAAGUAUACUGAAAGAGUAUUUGAUGCCAACAAUUAGCACUUCAGAUUAGAAACCUUUCAAUAAGUCCAUUUUGGAGUGAAUGGACUAUUAAGAUUGUGCCUUCAGGCUAACAACUUUAAUAAGAGCAUAUAAGAGAACGGAAAAAUACCUUAGAAUGGUAUGUUAUGCAUGACCAACAUUUUCAGUAUAAAUUAAAAAACAGAGAUUAAUUUUAUUCAUUACUUGAGCAAUUGCUGAUGAAGCAGCAGCACAUGUUGGGGAACAAUGCCUUUGAAAGCAUUACUGCCAGUGAUGAGACAAAAGAAUUGGAUUGCAUCUAGCAGUGGGAACAGAAAGAAACAGAGGUAUAGCUGAGUGCAUCAACCAGACUAAUCUGUAUGCCCAAAGCAACCUACAUGUCAGUGUGCUUUUAGGAGCAAGAUUGAUUGAAUGAAGACAUCGGAAGAAACCUUCAGUCACAGUG